rnacentral:rRNA from 1 species
AGGACGAACGCUGGCGGCGUGCUUAACACAUGCAAGUCGAACGAGGCCCUCCCUUCGGGGAGGUGACCUAGUGGCGAACGGGUGAGUAACACGUGGGCAACCUACCCUCAGCUCUGGGAUAACUGCCGGAAACGGGAGCUAAUACCGGAUAUGACCAGGGGCGACAUCGCCUUUGGUGGAAAGUUUUUCGGCUGAGGAUGGGCCCGCGGCCUAUCAGCUUGUUGGUGGGGUAAUGGCCCACCAAGGCGACGACGGGUAGCCGGCCUGAGAGGGCGAUCGGCCACACUGGGACUGAGACACGGCCCAGACUCCUACGGGAGGCAGCAGUGGGGAAUAUUGGACAAUGGGCGAAAGCCUGAUCCAGCAAUGCCGCGUGAGUGAUGAAGGCCUUAGGGUUGUAAAGCUCUUUUACCCGGGAUGAUAAUGACAGUACCGGGAGAAUAAGCUCCGGCUAACUCCGUGCCAGCAGCCGC